GUGCUCGCUUCGGUAGCACAUAUACUAAAAUUGGAACGAUACAGAGAAGAUUAGCAUGGCCCCUGCACAAUUUGUGAAGCAUUCCAUAUUAAAAAAAAAAAUACAUUC